UACGUAGGGGGCAAGCGUUGUCCGGAUUUAUUGGGCGUAAAGAGCGUGUAGGCGGCUUUACAGGUCCGUUGUGAAAACUCGAGGCUCAACCUCGAGACGCCGGUGGAAACCGUAAGGCUAGAGUCCGGAAGAGGAGAGUGGAAUUCCUGGUGUAGCGGUGAAAUGCGCAGAUAUCAGGAAGAACAUCCGUGGCGAAGGCGGCUCUCUGGGACGGUACUGACGCUGAGACGCGAAAGCGUGGGGAGCGAACAGG
rnacentral:rRNA from 1 species